ACUUGUCUCUCUGUAGUCAGCAGAGGGAGCCAGAUCAUUUACUUAUAUGAGACAUUGACACUUCAGAUCUUAAUUUGCUUUUUUUCACUUCAGCUAAGCUAGAAACAUUCUCUAACCUUAACAUAUCUUUAAAGUGUUCUGGCAGAGGGGCAGUCAGUUUGGCAGACUGUUACAGACUACAAACAGGAUAUAUUUCCCAGGUGUUUGAUUUAAUGUUAACCAUGCCAAAAAUUACUAAGAAUCUACACUCUGCAUUAUCUUAAAAAAAUAAACUGAGGUUUGAAAUAAUUACAUUUUGAAAUGAAAAGCCUUGUAAUCACAAGGAUAUUUGAAAGAGUUGUAGCUUACAGGCAAGCAAAAAUAAAAGGAGAGGACUGAAAGUCCACAUAAGUGAGGCUGAUCUAGAAUAUGGAGACUGCUGAAACACAUAGUUGCAAGUAACUCCAGUCUGCCCAGUUAUGCUUUUUCAUCUCAUCAUAUUUGUGCAUACAACCGAGUGUGUCUGUAAUGAACAUGAAGUUCCAACUAUCUCUGUUUCUUUAUCCAUGGAACAAGCUGAUGGAUGUCUCUUUUUUCAUCCAAUAACUAUUUUUAUGAGGAAAAUAAAGAUAUGUGGAAGAGAGUAGAGCAUGGCUGGGACUUCAUCUGGAAAUCUCUAUUCCUCUCAUCAGGAGAGACAGCUGAAACAAAAGCGUUUGCAGACACUGGAGCAAUGGGAACACUUCCUGGCAGAGGUGCAGAGGGAGCAGGAGAAAUAGCGGCCUGAGAUGAAGCAGGAAGUUGCCAUCAUUCAAGCUACCAAGAAGAGAUAUGAAGCAGAGCCAAUCAAGAGGCAAAGGAUCACAAGGGCCCCCACCACAUAAAUCUCCACUCCAGGUGCUUUGCAAAUGAAAAUGAAGGAAACUUGCAGGGAAGCAAUUGAUGAAGCAGAGAAGAUGACCAGGAACGCUUCAGGAUUACCUUCUCCAAUGCCAGCUCACAGCGAGACUCAGAAUAAAAUCCUAGAAACCCUCAA